AGGGUAGUAGUUAAUUAUAACAUUUGGGUUGCAUUCAAAAAGUAUUGAAAUAUCAAUCUACCUUA
rnacentral:tRNA from 1 species